GGACCUAUAGUUUCAGCGGUUAAAAUACUCGCCUGUCACGCGAGAGUCACGGAUUCGAAUUCCGUUAGGUCCG
rnacentral:tRNA from 2 species